UCUCUCUUGAGUGGAUCCUGAGUACGACGGAGCACGUGAAAUUCCGUCGGAAUCUGGGAGGACCAUCUCCUAAGGCUAAAUACUCUCUAGUGACCGAUAGUGAACCAGUACCGUGAGGGAAAGGUGAAAAGCACCCCGGAAGGGGAGUGAAAUAGAACCUGAAACCGUGUGCUUACAAGUAGUCAGAGCCCGUUAAUGGGUGAUGGCGUGCCUUUUGUAGAAUGAACCGGCGAGUUACGAUUUGAUGCAAGGUUAAGCAGUAAAUGUGGAGCCGUAGCGAAAGCGAGUCUGAAUAGGGCGUUUAGUAUUUGGUCGUAGACCCGAAACCAGGUGAUCUACCCUUGGUCAGGUUGAAGUUCAGGUAACACUGAAUGGAGGACCGAACCGACUUACGUUGAAAAGUGAGCGGAUGAACUGAGGGUAGCGGAGAAAUUCCAAUCGAACCUGGAGAUAGCUGGUUCUCUCCGAAAUAGCUUUAGGGCUAGCCUCAAGUGAUGAUUAUUGGAGGUAGAGCACUGUUUGGACGAGGGGCCCCUCUCGGGUUACCGAAUUCAGACAAACUCCGAAUGCCAAUUAAUUUAACUUGGGAGUCAGAACAUGGGUGAUAAGGUCCGUGUUCGAAAGGGAAACAGCCCAGACCACCAGCUAAGGUCCCAAAAUAUAUGUUAAGUGGAAAAGGAUGUGGCGUUGCCCAGACAACUAGGAUGUUGGCUUAGAAGCAGCCAUCAUUUAAAGAGUGCGUAAUAGCUCACUAGUCGAGUGACACUGCGCCGAAAAUGUACCGGGGCUAAACAUAUUACCGAAGCUGUGGAUUGUCCUUUGGACAAUGGUAGGAGAGCGUUCUAAGGGCGUUGAAGCAUGAUCGUAAGGACAUGUGGAGCGCUUAGAAGUGAGAAUGCCGGUGUGAGUAGCGAAAGACGGGUGAGAAUCCCGUCCACCGAUUGACUAAGGUUUCCAGAGGAAGGCUCGUCCGCUCUGGGUUAGUCGGGUCCUAAGCUGAGGCCGACAGGCGUAGGCGAUGGAUAACAGGUUGAUAUUCCUGUACCACCUAUAAUCGUUUUAAUCGAUGGGGGGACGCAGUAGGAUAGGCGAAGCGUGCGAUUGGAUUGCACGUCUAAGCAGUAAGGCUGAGUAUUAGGCAAAUCCGGUACUCGUUAAGGCUGAGCUGUGAUGGGGAGAAGACAUUGUGUCUUCGAGUCGUUGAUUUCACACUGCCGAGAAAAGCCUCUAGAUAGAAAAUAGGUGCCCGUACCGCAAACCGACACAGGUAGUCAAGAUGAGAAUUCUAAGGUGAGCGAGCGAACUCUCGUUAAGGAACUCGGCAAAAUGACCCCGUAACUUCGGGAGAAGGGGUGCUCUUUAGGGUUAACGCCCAGAAGAGCCGCAGUGAAUAGGCCCAAGCGACUGUUUAUCAAAAACACAGGUCUCUGCUAAACCGUAAGGUGAUGUAUAGGGGCUGACGCCUGCCCGGUGCUGGAAGGUUAAGAGGAGUGGUUAGCUUCUGCGAAGCUACGAAUCGAAGCCCCAGUAAACGGCGGCCGUAACUAUAACGGUCCUAAGGUAGCGAAAUUCCUUGUCGGGUAAGUUCCGACCCGCACGAAAGGCGUAACGAUUUGGGCACUGUCUCAACGAGAGACUCGGUGAAAUCAUAGUACCUGUGAAGAUGCAGGUUACCCGCGACAGGACGGAAAGACCCCGUGGAGCUUUACUGUAGCCUGAUAUUGAAAUUCGGCACAGCUUGUACAGGAUAGGUAGGAGCCUUUGAAACGUGAGCGCUAGCUUACGUGGAGGCGCUGGUGGGAUACUACCCUAGCUGUGUUGGCUUUCUAACCCGCACCACUUAUCGUGGUGGGAGACAGUGUCAGGCGGGCAGUUUGACUGGGGCGGUCGCCUCCUAAAAGGUAACGGAGGCGCUCAAAGGUUCCCUCAGAAUGGUUGGAAAUCAUUCAUAGAGUGUAAAGGCAUAAGGGAGCUUGACUGCGAGACCUACAAGUCGAGCAGGGUCGAAAGACGGACUUAGUGAUCCGGUGGUUCCGCAUGGAAGGGCCAUCGCUCAACGGAUAAAAGCUACCCCGGGGAUAACAGGCUUAUCUCCCCCAAGAGUUCACAUCGACGGGGAGGUUUGGCACCUCGAUGUCGGCUCAUCGCAUCCUGGGGCUGUAGUCGGUCCCAAGGGUUGGGCUGUUCGCCCAUUAAAGCGGUACGCGAGCUGGGUUCAGAACGUCGUGAGACAGUUCGGUCCCUAUCCGUCGUGGGCGUAGGAAAUUUGAGAGGAGCUGUCCUUAGUACGAGAGGACCGGGAUGGACAUACCUCUGGUGUACCAGUUGUCGUGCCAACGGCAUAGCUGGGUAGCUAUGUGUGGACGGGAUAAGUGCUGAAAGCAUCUAAGCAUGAAGCCCCCCUCAAGAUGAGAUUUCCCAACUUCGGUUAU
rnacentral:rRNA from 1 species